rnacentral:rRNA from 1 species
GAUGAACGCUGGCGGCGUGCCUAAUACAUGCAAGUCGAGCGAACAGACGAGGAACUUGCUCCUCUGACGUUAGCGGCGGACGGGUGAGUAACACGUGGAUAACCUACCUAUAAGACUGGGAUAACUUCGGGAAACCGGAGCUAAUACCGGAUAAUAUAUUGAACCGCAUGGUUCAAUAGUGAAAGACGGUUUUGCUGUCACUUAUAGGUGGAUCCGCGCCGCAUUAGCUAGUUGGUAAGGUAACGGCUUACCAAGGCAACGAUGCGUAGCCGACCUGAGAGGGUGAUCGGCCACACUGGAACUGAGACACGGUCCAGACUCCUACGGGAGGCAGCAGUAGGGAAUCUUCCGCAAUGGGCGAAAGCCUGACGGAGCAACGCCGCGUGAGUGAUGAAGGUCUUCGGAUCGUAAAACUCUGUUAUUAGGGAAGAACAAAUGUGUAAGUAACUAUGCACGUCUUGACGGUACCUAAUCAGAAAGCCACGGCUAACUACGU